CACUUAUCGAGACGGACGGAGGGACAGGCCCGCUGAUGUCCAGCAACCUGCAAUAUGUAAGGUGCUAAUUCCUGCAGCUUAUGCUGACAGAUAAGAC
rnacentral:ncRNA from 2 species